rnacentral:rRNA from 1 species
GCUAACUGAGGUGCCGCGGCCAGGGUAAAACGAAGGAGGCAAGGUUUAUCCGGAUUUACGGGGCGUAAAGGUGACGCAGGCGGUUAUGGAAGUCGGACGUGAAAGCGCCUAGCUAAACUGGGAGAGGUCGUUCGAAACUGCAUAGGUUGAGGUUGGAAGAGGAGAGCGGAACUCCCGGUGUAGUGGUGGAAUGCGUAGAUAUCGGGAAGAACACCAGUGGCGAAGGCGGCUCUCUGGUCCAAAUCUGACGCUCAUGUGCGAAAGCGUGGGUAGCGAACGGGAUUAGAUACCCGAGUAGUC